GCGUUGCCCGGAUUUAUUGGGCGUAAAGGGCGCGUAGGCGGUCACGCACGUCCGUUGUGAAAUCGCUCGGCUCAACUGGGCGGGGUCAGCGGAUACGGCGUGGCUGGAGCAAGCUAGGGGGCAAUGGAAUUCCCGGUGUAGUGGUGGAAUGCGUAGAUAUCGGGAGGAACACCAGUGGCGAAGGCGGUUGCCUGGAGCUUUGCUGACGCUGAUGCGCGAAAGCGUG
rnacentral:rRNA from 1 species